rnacentral:lncRNA from 1 species
UUUGUUGAUAUUUUACGUAAUCGCAUCGAAGACUGUUACGACGCCGUGUUAUUUUUAGCAUGGUUUCGAGUAUGUACUUUUGACUCUUUACUUACACAAUUUUCACAAUCUAGACUCAUUUUUUAGCAAUUAGCUUCAACGGAUCUUUACAUUUUCCGAUUAGCAACGAAAAAGAAACGAGCAGUAAUGUCGUCCUACAGAAAUGUCGUUUGGUUUGCUAGAGGAAUGAAGGAUUAUUCCAAGUAAGUCUGUGCUUACCUAAAUGUGUAUAAUGAGGCUUUAUUAGAGCCAUGAACGAAGACAAACUGAUUUCCGCUUUUUCACAAUUACUUCCAAAGUUAGUUUUUAUAGGCAAAGAAGAAAAUAGCUAUGAAAUAAGCCAAGUGGCCUCAAGCAAAAUUCAAAAAAUGACUCUUCAGCAGCAAAAAUGGAUUUGCCUGCCUGUGUGGUGAUGUGUACUGUAACUCCGGCUUCAUCAAAUCAUAAUCCAACAGCUGCAAUCACCUUCUGUUGUUCACUUUUCACUCAAGUUCUGAACAAGUUUCAAGACAUUUUCCAUCUGAGCUCUGGAAAUGCUUACCAACGAAAUGGAAAUUGCAGAUAAGGAGAAGGAGUCUGUCUCUGGGAGUAAUGAAGAAGCUGAUGAAGAUGAUCUGAGCGACGUGGAGGAGGGAGAAACUAAGUGCGCUAAACUGAGAAAUUUAUAGGAAAAUUUGAUCUGGAUUAUCUGAUCAAGAAUUUUCAGAGGAAGAGAUAUUUUUAGAAAGUAACUCUAUCAGGAUUCUGAAGAAGAAGUUUUAUCCUGGUUUUCAUUCAGCUGAAGCUAAAAAUUGAACUGCUCAUAGAAAUCCUAUCAGAAGCCGUAUCUCUGUUUUCCCGAUUUUUAAACUCUUAACUGAUUGGUUACAAGCCAAUGUUCAGGUUGUUCAAGUAUCAAGUAGGCCUAUCAAGAUCCAUUCGAAAAAUGUGGGCAACACUAGCUACCAUCCUCAACGUGUUUAAACGCUGCCAGAAAGAAGAUGUUGAUCAGUACCAAAAAGUUCCUUUAGAAGAAGAGUGGAAGCUGUAUGGACUGGAUUCUAUGAGCUUAUUCCAUGCUCCAAUCGAUUUUGAGUCUGUUCCUGCACCAUCCAACGUUUCAAUUUUAAAUUCUAUUCGGAUCGAAAGUAUUCUCCAAUAUGGUAAUUGGUUGGCAAGUCAUGGCAACGAAAAAAGUUUCCGACUGGAAAACGGAAUUUACACGUGUCCAUCCGAAGCAACUAAAGAUGAAUCCCAGGAACUGGGAAUGAAAGCAGACCUCAUAUGAUUGGCACACUUGUGAUUGAAGUCAGAAGUAGCUACAAUAGCUUGAACGGAGACUCUCACCUCAAUUUAAAAGAAAAAAAGACAAACGGACGUCUCUGCUCUUUCAGACUUCACUCACCUCAUAAAGAAAGUGAUCAAAAGCCAAAAGCUGAUUGUAGUAGUACCUGAUAUUGUCAUCUCGGAAAUUGAUCCACUUAAAAGAGAAAGCGCUUCUGUUCGGGAAUGCAUUCGAUGGCUAGAAACCUGUUUCCGUACUGGCAAUCGCUUUAUUAGAGCACAGCGUCAAAACGAACACCAAGUCAUCCCAUUAUAUUGACUUAUCCUAAACGAAAAGAUAAAGCCAACUCUUGAGCACCUGAGCCAUCUCUCUUAAAAGUGCUGCUGACCUGCUGUUACCUGGAUACAAACCAGCAGAGAAACGUUUACAAAACUAGCCAGAAUUCGCCCUUUGUACUGUUUUUGUCUGGCAACUCAGCUGAAGACACGGAUGAACAAACUAGAGUGAUUUGUAAUUCGAUUGGUGUUGAACUUAAAACUGCAAAUUCGUUGGUGAAGAAAAGUAAGACGAAAAAGCGCUAAUACCGUCAUGUAUA